ACGGCGCCACUUGCUAUUGUCAUUUGAUAAAGUUUCAAAAAAAUAUUAGAAGAGUUGUGAUUGUGAUACAGCGCAGCUAAGCAUAGAAAACAUGUUUUUAAAAAUGAUACUAAAGUUAGCCAAGAGUUAGUAUAUUUCCAACUUGAAGCUUUUAUGGGAUGGGUCACUAGCCGUAAAUAAACAGAGUGACGAUAACCCUUUAAAAUUUAGGUGUAACCUGUAUUACGCUAUUACUUUUUGCUGCUGUUUGUGUCAAGUCUCUAAGCAGAUAUUUUUUUUUACGACAAAUUUCAUGAUACUGAAGUUAGCAGACGUCUAAUAAUUUUUGGAUUUUUUUUUAGACGAUAAACCAGAAGAAAAAAAAUAUUUGAAAAAAUUGCACCUGUAGUUUUUUAAAUUUUCUACAUGCGCAUAUUUUUAGUUUUUUUUUUUCUUUAAAUUUAAUUGUUCAAAAAAAAAUCAAAAAAUUUUGAACUGUCUGCUAACUUCAGGAUCAUCAAAUUUCUCAUUAUUUUGUCAACACUUUGGUGCAUUCAUAAGUCAAAAUCAGCCUCAAAGUUCUUACAGAUAUCAUAAAGCCAAGUAACACAUUUGGCUUUGUGACAUCUGUAAGAUCGCAGUUUUUUGACCUAAGGCGCCAAAAUGGUGACAAAAUUAUCAGAAAUUUAUCACUGAAAAAAUAUCUGCUAAAAGACUUGACAGAAGUGACGAAAAAAAGUAAAUUACUAACGAGUCCGAAUGACGUCAAUUGAUGACUUUUUUAAGACCAAAAAAAGAAGACAAACUCCAAGAUCAACAUCUGUAUAUCUUCUUUCUAUAAAAAAAUUUGGCUCUGAGACAAAAUAAAAUUUGUCUUGUCAUCUUAAAGUUGUCUCUGUACUACACGGGUAUUUAUUCAAAAAUCAAAAAAUUGUCAAUUGUCAGCUACAUUUCAAACUCAUAAAUGUUUAACCACGUGGUUUUAAAUUUAAAUAAUUAAAACCCACAUGAUAAAUAGACUGUUUAGUUACAACAAUAAUUAUUCAUCAACUUGCUGAUGAAUUGAGUUUAAAAAUUACAUAAAAAAAUUAAUUGAUUGAAUAACUAAGUUACAUAUUAUAAACCAGGUGUAUGAAUUAUUUAUAUAAACAAUAAUAGAGUUACUUAAUAACAUCAGUCAAUGAAUUACACUAUUGAUCGGGCAUUUGGGUUAAUUAAAUUACAAGUAAUAAAAUUUAAACCAAAAAAAGUCUGUAUUUUCAAAUACAAUGAUAAUUGCUCACUGUAAUAUUUACAAUACCAUUCUUAUUAAUAUGUAGUAUAAAUAAGUCUUAAGUUGCAUUUAAUUAUGUUCUCUCAUGACCCAACAUCCAUAUCUAAAAACUUACAAAUUUCCCAGCAAUAAUUAAAUUUCUUUUUUAACUUUACAUAUCUCAUGAAUUUUACUUAAAAUUUAUUAUUACAUAAUUAAUAUAUUAUUUAAAUCCCGGCCGAUGAAUUAAA